UACGAAGGGGACUAGCGUUGUUCGGAAUCACUGGGCGUAAAGCGCACGUAGGCGGCUGUGUCAGUCAGGGGUGAAAUCCCGGGGCUCAACCUCGGAACUGCCUUUGAUACAGCACGUCUCGAGUCCGGAAGAGGUGGGUGGAAUUCCUAGUGUAGAGGUGAAAUUCGUAGAUAUUAGGAAGAACACCGGUGGCGAAGGCGGCCCUCUGGACCGGUACUGACGCUGAUGCGCGAAAGCGUGGGGAGCAAACGGG
rnacentral:rRNA from 1 species